rnacentral:lncRNA from 10 species
GCAGAGCCCAGGCAGGAGCCUGGGGCAUGGGCGGGGCCAGGGUUGGGGCGGGGCCAGGCUGAGAGCGUAGCCACGCCGCAUUCGCCAUCGCUAGCCCGUGGCCUCCUCUGGGGCUGCGGGGGCUCGGGGGUGGGGCCGGGGGGGUCGGUGCGUGGGCGGGGCGGGAGCUCUAGGCGGUUAGGAGUCGGGGCUCAGAUGCGGGGGCGGGGCCGGAGCGAGGCCGGGUAUCACCCGGGAGUGGAGGAAGUGCGGGGGGUUCGCGGCGCGGGGAGGGUGAUCCCGGGAGGACUUGCGCGGCGCGUGGGGCGGGGCACAGAUGCUCCCCGGCCUGGCUCCGAGUAACUGCGAGCUGGAGGCGCGGCUGCUCUCUCGGGCGGACCUCAGCUCUGCGAACCCUGUGGCUGCCGGAGCACUGAGCGCCCUGCCCGGAGUCCCGCGGAGCCUGGCGAGGAGGGGUCGCUGCAUCCCGAGGGCCAGCCCUGAGCCGGGAGGUGGGGUAACAAUUGAGGGCGUAUGCUUAAAAGCUGCUAGGUCAUGCAUCCCCAAAUCGAAGGUUUGCAGACCUGGUAGGACGCCUGGGGGUCAGAAGUGAUUUUUGGAGUACCCAAGUUUUUAGUGUCAGUGAAGAGUUUGUGGAUAUUUUUGAGUUCUGCUGAGGCAUUUGCAAAGUAUUUUCUUUGGGGAAGAAUUCUUAAGAGUUGGAAGGGCCUUGGCUGUGUCACCUUGUCCAGUUCCCAGAGAACCAAAAAACAAAACAGAACAAAACGAAACAAAACCACCCCUCUAAAUUCUGUGCCCAAGUUGUCCCAUCCAAGCAUGCCUAGGAGUUUUAGAUUUAUGUAGCUGACACCUGUGGACUACCUAUAGUGAGCCAGGCUAAUUGUAAGUCUUUGGACAACCCUGUAAGGAAAAUGAUAUUGCCCUGUUGAGCUGAUGUGGAAAUUGCCCUGUUGAGCAUAUUGCCCUGUUGAGCUGAUGUGGAAACUGAGACCCAGAAAGAUUAAUCAGGUGAAUUCCCCAAAGACAGGAGGCUUGCAGAAGAUGAAACAGCUGUCAUGGAAAUAUUUUUUAAAUCUCAUACUGGUCAAACGGUGUAAACUUUGCUGGAAGGAACCUUACUCAGAGGGCCAAUCACCUGCUUCUCUAGAGUUCUCAAGCUCUCCUGUGAGCACCAGGUUGAGCUGCAGAAAGCCAGAACCAGCUCAGAAACUGAGAAAUGGACAUGAAGAUGCCCAGGUCUGCAGAUGGUUUCCAUUCUGAAAAGUGAUAGUCCCAAGGGGGACUGGCAUGCAGUCAUUCAUUCAACAAUUGUGCUCCUACUCUGUGAAGUAUUGGGGAUACAGUGCUGAGCACAGACAGACCUAGUCUCUGUCCUUUGCACCUUUCAGUGAAGGAUAGGAGGUAGACAUUGAUGCAACAAGCACCCGAGUAAAUGUAAGACCAUGCAGUGAUAAAGGCCGUGGAGGAAGGGCCCAUGCAGGGGCAGAAAACAGAGGAAGGGGCUGGUGGAGCAGCUCCUCUAGCUCAAGGCUGAGUGGUAUAAACUGUAGCUACUGCAUGAUCUGAACGUGUCUUAAGGAGGGUAUCCCCAAAGCGGGCUCAUUGGGAGUUACUGUGGAGCGCUAGUUUAUUGUAAUUGCCAUAUGUUUAUAAGUAAUGGAAUCCUAGAAUUAGAAGGAACUUCGGUCACCUUUUAAUUUAAUAUUUAUCUUUCUCAAUCCAGGAAACAUCUCUACAGCAUCCCUAACUGGGGGUUGAUCCAUUCAUUUCCAGACACAGAGAACAGAGUCACAUUCUGCUGUUUCCAUAUGUACCAUUUUAGUAAGACUUCUUGGGGCACAAGGCAGGAAGUUGGGGACAAUAUAUUUGUCUGCACCAAGGCAGCCUGAGAAGAGAGAAGUGAAUACUCCUGGGGUUAUUCUAUAUUAUUCACUUAAUAUUCUAAGUGAGUCCUCUAGGGGUACCUGAGACAUGGAGUAUGAAAGUACACAUUCACAAAAGUACCAGCUUUAAAACUAGAUUAUCUCUACUAUUCAAAAACACCAAGGAAAGGCCACACAAUGGAGACAAAGUGCAUCUGAGAUCUAGCAAAUUUCCCUGUUGGCCACAUACUGAUAAUGAUGUAUUAAAAUCAAUUCUAUACUGUGGGGUACUUAUUUGACAUUAAUAGGUACCAUGGUGGUUUAACAUAGUUGCUGCCCAGAGAAAACGCCGCACACUCACCUACACUAAAAUGAAGUCUGAGUCAGCUGCCUCCCCUCCGCCAUCCCUUCCAAAGCCAAUGGUUGAAAGUCACAGAAGUCCCUCUGCUGCCACCUAGUGACGACAAUGUGAAUACAACUACACAGCCUCCUGGGAAAGAAGUUUUGAACCACGUUUGCUUCUAAAGGAAGCCUGUAAUUACCUCUGAGUGCUCUAUUUUGGCUACAAUUUAAAAACAUAUAUAUUUUAAAACUCUAUAAACUCUUAUGCAUAUCCCUUUUUAAGAAUCUGACCUGUAAUGGAUGUAGCCUCACUUUCAAGAACCUAAAAGCUAUGCCCCCAAUUCAGGGAGUAGAACAGACAGGCUUAAGAACAGUGCCUAAAAAUGCCACUAAAUUUAUCUUUAAAAUGCCUGUGGUUCCUUAGCACUUGAAUUCCGUUAUGCCCCUGGGUAUAGUCACCUGGAUGUUAGGGGCUGUCAAAAUUCAGCCCUCAGUUGGUGAUCAGUAGGUUUUCCCUUUAAGUGGUUUCUGAAAGGAUUUUUUUUAAAAAUCUUGAAAUUCUCAUGUCUGGAUGAUGUUUCCAGUUUUGUGGAAGAAUAAAAGAAAAGGGACAUGAAAUUCUGGCUCCCUGGGGGCAGUGGCUGUGUCUUAUUAAUCUCUGUGCCCAUUGUACCAACACCGGUCAGUCACAGCAUGUACUCAACCAAUGCUGAUGAAUGCAGAGGGGCGAGGGGCUGGCACGCUCUUGACCCCUUAUAGGGGCUGCGUCGAUGGCCAGGGUUCAAUGGGAACUUUCUGGUACAGUCUUGCUCUGCCAAUCUUUCAAAUUAAGUGCAGCACAAUUGGAAGCCUCACAUUCUCAUAGACGGGUUGAGGAGGGCAUUAGGGGCAGAAAGGCUCACAUAAGGCCUGAGCGUGAGGUUUCCUGCCCAGCACUGCUGUGCCAUUGCAGCCCACCUUCUUCUCACCUUUCCUUCCACACCACGGCGCGGCAGGUGCAGAAACCGUGCUGGGAUUGAGGCCCUAGAGGCUGACUACAGGUCUUGGGGGCAAAACAUCUGGACACACAGCUGAAGAUGAGCCAAGUAUAUUAGUCAGGGUUCUCUAGAGAAACAGAACCAACAAGAUAGAGAGAUGCAGAGAGACAGAGGGACAGACAGACAGAUUUAAGUAACUGACCCAUAAAAUCUUGGAGGCUUGGCAAGUCCAAAAUCUGCAAGAUGGAAGUGGGCUGGCACAUUGGAGACUCAAGGAAGAGUUGCACGUUGAGUUCAAAGGCCGGCUGCUGGCAGAAUUCCUUUCUGCUCAGGUGAAGUCGGUCUCUGUUCUAUUAAGACCUUCAACUGAUUGGAUGAGGUCCACCCAUAUUAUGAAGGGUCAUUUGCUUUACUCAACAUCUACUCAUCUAAAUAUUAAUCUCAUUGAAAAAAAACCCCAGAAACAUCCAGAAUAGCAUUUGACCAAAUGUUUGGACAAUGCAGCCUAGCCACAUUAACACACAAAAUUAACUGUCACAGCAAGACACCAGGGAAGCAUUGGAAGAUGUUAGCGGCUGUCAUUGAAAUGGGUGCCGUCAGGUGGACGGCAGCCAUCCAUCGGGCAAGAGCGGGGCAGCUGGAAGGGCCCUCCCCUCCCGUUUGCUUUCUGCUCUUCACAGCUCACGGAUAGAGGAAUUUUCUCAGCACAUUUCCCAGGAGGAGUUUGGCACCACCAUUUCUUGAAAACAGAUGUCUGCAGGGAUGUGUGUGUGCCUGUGAAUAUGAAGUCCAGAGCCUGGGACUGAGAACAGCAAGGGGAACAGGUGGCCACAGGGGAGUUGCCAGAUUGCUGACUUAAGAUGUGCUCCCAGGGCUGCACUGGUGUCGGUCGUGAGAGCGAUCACGGUUUGUGCAACGUCUGAACUUUCUAUCAACUUAUGGUUUAAUCAAUUUGCUGUUUACUCCAGCUAUUUGCAACCUCUCCUCAGUUACUUGGUGUUCAGCAGUGUAAUAUAUCUUCAUGUGUGAAUAUAAAUAUACUAUUUAGUGGAAACUAAAAGGAAUUGUGGAGGAAGAAUUUUUUUGGAUAAUUUUAUGUUUUCAUAAUGUAAAAAUUAAAGAUAUUUGAAGAGUUGAGUAUGUCAGUUUUGGGGAUGCAAGAGAAUGACUUCGGGACUACCAUAAUAUUUAAAAUCAUCACUACUCUUUCUUUCCACCUAAGUCUCAUAGCAAAAGAGGAAAUUUACUUCAGUCUCUUUCUGUAGCAGAACAUUAUCGUGCUGUAUUCCUGUGUUCACUUAUCUGCGCUGGAUUGUGAGUCCUUACAGAGAGAAAUUGUUAUGUGCUAUGUUCCCAACACCUGCACAUUAUAGGUGGUCACUAAGUGCUUGAUGAAUAAAUGAAUGAGGGAAUAAUAUUGUUUAUUAUUUUUUGCUGUUAUUUAUAAUUGGGAGUGGGUAGGAUUUGGAUUAUGAAGACUCUGGGAAGCCUCAUAAGAACCUCAGACUCACUGGGCACGGUGGCUCACACCUGUAAUCCCAGCACUUUGGGAGGCCGAGGCAGGCGGAUCACGAGGUCGGGAGAUCGAGACCAUCCUGGCUAACACGGUGAAACCCGGUCUCCACUAAAAAUACAAAAAACUAGCCAGGUGUGGUGGCGGGCGCCUGUAGUCCCAGCUACUCCAGAGGCUGAGGCAGGAGAAUGGCCGUGAACCCAGGAGGCGGAGGUUGCAAUGAGCCGAGAUCGCACCACUGCACUCCAGCCUGGGCGACAGAGCAAGACUCCAUCUCAAAAAGAAAAACCUCAGACCAGACUCAACGUGUCCAAAAAAGAGCUCACCUUGUACCCCUAGAUCCUGAAGCGGCUUCCAGUAGCUCAACCUCCUCCCAUCCAGUUCCAUCUCUGCCAGGGAUCUUUUAAAAAUGCAAAUCUCAUUAUGUCUCUUUCCUGCCUCAAACCUCCCAGUGGUUCUCCAGUCUGUCAGGAGAGGGUAUAGACUGUGGCCUGGCCCGGGAAGUUCUUUGAGGUCAACCCCUGCCUACUCAUCUUGCUAACUCUUAUGGCUCUCUGACACUAGGCUUUUGCUCCAAUCAUAUAAGCAACUGUAUUUCCAUAAAAUUGCAAUGUUCUUCCCUACCUCCUCACUUAACUAAUUUUCACUUUACUGAUCAUUUCUUAUUUUACUAUCAGCGUCUCUUUCUCCUUAUUCUUCAGGGAACAUUUCUCUCCACCAUCCUGUGCCACACUGUGGGGGUGUCAGUAACACCCUCUGUCCUCUCCUGGCCAAAGGAAAGGGGUGUCAUUCAGCCCAGGCCCCUGGAUCCUCAUCUUGGGAUUUGGAAAUGUGACCGAAGUGACAUAAAAAAAAGACAUGAAGUGCGAGGAGCUCAUUCAGUCAGCUCUGCAGCUCCAGCUGGGUUACCUGUGAGUCCUUGCUAGCCAGAUCCCUUGAUUUGCCGUGACUCCUGCCUUUGCCAAGUCUGUCUUCAUAGAUUCUUUCAAAUGUGGUUCCAUCUUGCCUGAGUUCGUCAGAGCCAGAUUCUGUGCUGUAAUAAAAAACCCCAAAUCAACUCACCUCUCACCCUCCACAAUGCAGCUUCUGGAAGAUUCCAGAUGCCCCAGCCUGACUGAGAAUUCUCUCUCCUCUGCUCUCAAAGUCCCUUUGGGUGCUUCUACCAAAGCACUGACAGCGUGAUUCUGAUUUGAUCGCUGGUGUCUGAGAGCUGUGAACGUCUUGAUGGUUUUGGCGCCCAGCACCAUUCCUGCCUCAUAAUUGGCACGUGAUAAAGGCUUGUCGCAUUCCCUCAUUCAAAAUAAACAUAGAAGACAAUCCAGAGAUUGCAGCUUCACAGAAAUCACAGAAGGAAAUUUAUAUUUAUAGAGACGGCAUAUAAAAUUUUAAAACAAUUUUAAUGAAAAUCUUGAAAAUAGACAUUCUCUUCUUUAAACAACAUAAACUGAACAAACUCAGUCUGUUUUGGUGCCUCUGUGAGUACCCUCGGUUGCUCUGGGCUGCUGUGCGAUGCUGACCGGGACUUCCUCAGAGGCCUCAUCUUCUGCAUCCAGUGGACUUGCAAGCCACUUUACACUUCCUGGGUGAUAAGGUUUGGAUUUGUGUCCCCGCCCAAAUCUCACGUGGAAUGUCAUUCCUAAUGUUGGAAGAGGGGCCUGGUGGGAGGUGAUUGGAUCAUGGGGGCAGAAUUCCCUCUUGCAGUUCUCUUGGUAGUGAGUUCUCACAAGAUCUGGUUGUUUAAAAGUAUGUAGCACCUCCUGCUUUCGCUGUCUUCCUCCUGCUCCCGCCAUGUAAGACGUGGCCUCCUUUCCCUUCGCCUUCCGCCAUGAUUGAAAGUCUUCAGAGGCCUCCCCAG